rnacentral:rRNA from 1 species
GUUGCCAGCGGUCCGGCCGGGAACUCAAAGGAGACUGCCAGUGAGUAACUGGAGGAAGGUGGGAUGACGUCAAGUCAUCAUGGCCUUACGACCAGGGCUACACACGUGCUCAAUGGCGCAUACAAAGAGAAGCGACCUCGCGAGAGCAAGCGGACCUCAUAAAGUGCGUCGUAGUCCGGAUUGGAGUCUGCAACUCGACUCCAUGAAGUCGGAAUCGCUAGUAAUCGUGGAUCAGAAUGCCACGGUCGAAUACGUUCCCGGGCCUU